GGUGACGUCGACCGCCGAACAAGGAGAACUGGUCCUAUUUCUUUGUAACAAAAUUUUGUAUGUCAAUCCAUAAAAUUCUACUAUAAAUACAGGAUCGGCUGUUUCACGGCCCGACCGCUCAGACGGUCGUGUGUGCUCCAGCAAAAUUCGAGAGAGAGAGGGAAGACGACACGCUGUUGAAGGGAGAGAGGGAAGAGAUGCUGUUGAUUUGAACCUGCACCGCCAGAAAACGGGAUAAUACAUCUAGCUGAGGAUCUACCUACCUGAACAAGACCAACCAUCACCACCAUGUCAAAGYACCAGUGUGAAUCCGUAGCAGUGAGCGUGGAGUCCCUUUUAACUGACGCGGUUAAGAUGCAGUCCCAGUGUCAGGAGUGUAGUGAGCAGCUAGCCAUGGCCGCCGCCGCACUGAGGGAGGAGUCGGCGUGCUUGAGAGAACAGUGUCAAGCCACCCAGCUGGAUAUGGCCCGGAUGAGAAGACAGCUAGAACAACUGCUGGAUAGCAAGGCUCAGAUGGAGGCCAGUGACAGAAUGCACCGCAAACUCAGCAAGACACUCUGAAGGAAAAGGAGGGGAGAGAAGGAGGGAAGGAGAGGAGAGGAGGGGAGAGGAGAGGAGAGGAGGGGAGAGGAGAGAAGAAGAGUGAGAAAAUAAGAACGGUUGGAUAACAAAGCUUCGACGGAGACCCGUUAAAAUGUUUUAUUUUUAUUUUUUAAGUAUCCUGUUCUCUAACUCUAAUUCCUGUCCCUAAACAAUAUACUUUAUGCUUAAUAAGAAGUUAUUAUUCUAGCUAUAUAGGCUUUCACUUCURUUCWKGAAGAUUGAAUGGUUAUGGGUCUGAAUAAAUAGCUGCUGUAGCCUACCGUCAUCGCUUCUUUCAAACUACCCGUGAGUUCUAUUGGUGUAUUUAACAUUCGGCAGAAAAGAGCUUGGAUCCUUCUUCCAAUAGUCUAUUUGGUAUAAGAAAUGCUCAAAAAAAUUAAAAUAAAAAAUCCAACGAGCUAUUCUAGUUUUUCCUGCAUGGGACCAAGAGCUAAGGAGCGUUUUUUUAAGGGGAGGUUAGCAGAGCUCAGGCGCUUGGGUAUUACGCAAGAGACAGAGGCUG